rnacentral:snRNA from 1 species
UGACUCUGGUUUUCUCUUCAUUACGCACAAGCCUUCGCCUUUUACUAACGACUUCCGUGGAGAGGAAAACUUACGAGUUCAACGUUAUUUUUGGAGCGGCUUUGCUUCUUGCAC